ensembl:lncRNA
CUUCCCCCCUCCUUUUGGACUUUGACCGUCCCUCCGUCAUCCAGUUGAUGCUAGCCCGCCAUGCCAGGUUACUCGGCUUCACCUCCCCCUCACUGGAGCGCUUCUCUAUCCACUCUCCCCUCUGCGCUCCCCCGACACGGGGCCGCCAGGCUCUCCUAACCUCCCCUGAAGAAUCCCAGGAGCUUUCUUGUCGCCUUCAGCUUCCGCCCCCGAUCUUCCCUCCACGCGGCGGCCAAAGCCAUUGUCCUUGUGUGGAGGCGACUGCCGGACGCCCUGGCCAAAGGCGCUCCACUGGCUUUCUGACGUCUUUCAGCCGAGGGUGUCCGAGUUCAGAUUCUGCCCGCGACGCGGACUCAGUGGGGCCCAGAGUGCAGGACCGAGUCCUUGACAGAAGGAAAAGCCUCCAAGUCAUUCAGCAAGAAGGAAGGUGAUCGGCCGACCCGCCACCGAGGCGGAAACACCAAACCGCACGUCGGGUCUCCGGGCUGGGGAGCCAGACGUGGAGCUGAAGACCGCCUGGCCAGGGAAGAGCCCCGCCAUUGGCAGGCCCAAACCGAGUAUGGAUUCCAGGCUUCUGCGAGGGUCGAUUUCCUCCAGGAUCCCACUGUGCCAGCCGGCCUGCCCUUGUCCUUCCUCCGAACACCUCGAGGCCCCCCGGCAGCGCCACGUCCAGGACCUUCCCCGAGCCGCAGCCCCCGCCUCCUUGGGAGCCGGCGCUGGAUUGGGCUUCCUCAGCUGUAAAGGUGGGGCCGUCACGACUCCGGCUUGCCCAGGUUGUUGGGAAGAUCGAGUGAGCUUUGUCAGCCCCAAAGCACUACAAACGCCAGCCAUCGCGGCCGUGCCGGCAUCGGGUUGGACUCUGGAGGAGCAGACCAAAAUGAGACCAUUUCUGCCCUCCAAGACAUCAUUUUUAUUGGGCGCCUUGGUUCUGCCCAAACUGGACACUCUUGGCCCAGCCUGUGGGCCCCCCCAGCCGUUCCAUAAGGAUCCGCCCCUAGUGGGCGAUGUAGCCCCAGAGAACUCGGCGGUCAGUUUCUAGAGGGCGGAAGGAUCUGCCUGCAGUGGCGGCACUUUUCCUCUAGGUGUCCUCAGCGACCAGCAUUCUUUGGCAAGUUCAGCAGAGGAAGCUCUGGGCUGGCUCCGGGUCAGCCAGCUGCUGGCGAGGACCGCUUUGCCACCUUUUCUUCUCCGGAGAGGAUGGAAGGGUCCUGGCUCAUCCAGAGGGAGGGAAUCUGAACCGGGGCCCCGGGAGAAGAGGGCUGCUCUGAGGCUCCCGUGUCCCAUUAGCCCCCGGCGAAGCCCUGCUGGCUCAUUUGGGUUUGUAUUUAGUACUUUUUGACACUUGGUGCAUCCGGGAUGCAUAUGAGAGCUCCGUGCCGGCAACGCAGCGCCAGGCACGUGGAAAGCAACACUACGGGACACCCAGCCCGCUCCGUCCCCUCCCUCCUCCCCCCAUCGGUACUUUGGCUCCCAGAGCGGAAUAUUGCAAAUGGACCAUUGAAAUAUAUGCAGAUUAGAAUGCUUACCUGUAACCAAGGCCACCAAUAAAUUGAAUUGUAGCCUCCA